rnacentral:rRNA from 1 species
GACGAACGCUGGCGGCGUGCCUAAUACAUGCAAGUAGAACGCUGAAGGAGGAGCUUGCUCUUCUGGAUGAGUUGCGAACGGGUGAGUAACGCGUAGGUAACCUGCCUGUUAGCGUGGGAUAACUUUUGGAAACGAUAGCUAAUACCGCAUAACAGUUCAUGUUUCAUGACAUUUUCUUAAAAGUUUCACUUGUUCCACUACCAGUUGGACCUGCGUUGUAUUAUCUUGUUGGUGGGGUAACGGCUCACCUAGGCGACGAUACAUAGCCGGACUGAGAGGGGGAAUCAGCGAAAUUGGAAAGAGAAAAGGCACAAAAGACAACGGGGAGGAGAAGAAGGGAAAAAUAAGAAAAGGAGGGAAAAGAGAAAGAAAAAAGACGAGGGAGGGAAGAAAGAUUUCGGGUCGUAAAAAUCUGUUGUAAGGGAAGAACGAGUGUGAGAGUGGAAAGUACACAGUGUGACGGUAACUAACAAAAAAGGGACGGCUAACUACGUG